AGCAUAUCAAUAAGCGGAGGAAAAGAAACUAACAAGGAUUCCCCUAGUAACUGCGAGUGAAGCGGGAAAAGCUCAAAUUUAAAAUCUGGCGGUCUUUGGCCGUUCGAGUUGUAAUUUAGAGAAGCGUCUUCCGCGCUGGACCGUGCACAAGUCUCCUGGAACGGAGCGUCAUAGAGGGUGAGAAUCCCGUCUUUGGCACGGAACCCCGGUGCUUCUGUGAUGCGCUCUCGAAGAGUCGAGUUGUUUGGGAAUGCAGCUCAAAAUGGGUGGUGAACUCCAUCUAAAGCUAAAUAUUGGCGAGAGACCGAUAGCGAACAAGUACCGUGAGGGAAAGAUGAAAAGCACUUUGGAAAGAGAGUGAAACAGUACGUGAAAUUGUUGAAAGGGAAACGCUUGAAGUCAGUCGCGUCGAUCGAGACUCAGCCUUGCCUUGGCUUGGUGUACUUCUUGACCGACGGGCCAGCAUCAAUUUUGCCUCUCGGAUAAUGGCAAGGGAAAGGUGGCACCCUUACGGGUGUGUUAUAGUCUCCUGUCGCAUGCGAGGGGUGGGAUUGAGGAACUCAGCACGCACCUUUUAGGUGUCGGGGCUUCGGCCCACGUUACGUGCUUAGGAUGUUGGCGUAAUGGCUUUAAACGACCCGUCUUGAAACACGGACCAAGGAGUCUAACAUGCCCGCGAGUGUUCGGGUGGAAAACCCGUGCGCGAAAUGAAAGUGAAAGUUGGGACCUCUGUCGUGGAGGGCACCGACGCCCGGACCAGACCUUCUGUGACGGCUCUGCGGUAGAGCGUGCAUGUUGGGACCCGAAAGAUGGUGAACUAUGCCUGAAUAGGGUGAAGCCAGAGGAAACUCUGGUGGAGGCUCGUAGCGAUUCUGACGUGCAAAUCGAUCGUCAAAUUUGGGUAUAGGGGCGAAAGACUAAUCGAACCAUCUAGUAGCUGGUCCUGC
rnacentral:rRNA from 1 species